rnacentral:rRNA from 1 species
GGUUAAGCGAAUAAGCGUACACGGUGGAUGCCUAGGCAAUCAGAGGCGAUGAAGGACGUGCUAAUCUGCGAAAAGCGUCGGUAAGGUGAUAUGAACCGUUAUACCCGACGAUAUCCGAAUGGGGAAACCCAGUAUCCAAUGGAUACUAUCAUUAACUGAAUCCAUAGGUUAAUGAGGCGAACCGGGAGAACUGAAACAUCUCAGUACCCCGAGGAAAAGAAAUCAACCGAGAUUCCCCUAGUAGCGGCGAGCGAACGGGGAGCAGCCCAGAGUCUUAAUCAAUAGCAGUGUCAGGAGAACGGUCUGGAAAGUCCGGCAGUAAAGGGUGAUAGCCCCGUAUCUGAAGAUGCUGUUAUUGUGAACUCGACGAGUAGGGCGGGACACGUGUUAUCCUGUCUGAAUAUGGGGGGACCAUCCUCCAAGGCUAAAUACUCCUGAUUGACCGAUAGUGAACCAGUACCGUGAGGGAAAGGCGAAAAGAACCCCGGCGAGGGGAGUGAAAAAGAACCUGAAACCGUG